CCACCCAGCCCCUGGCUGUCUGACGUCCUUCGUGAACAUCGGACUGAACUCAGGGCAGCUGAGAGGAGAUGGCGGAAAUCUAAACAUCCAGCAGAUCUAGAACAAGCUGCUGGAUGACAAUCAGUCAGGCUUCAAAAGUGGACACUCCACCGAGACUGCCCUGCUGUCUGUCACUGAGUCGCUGAGAUGGGCGAAAGCUGAAUCCAGAUCAUCCAUCCUGAUUCUGCUGGACCAUUCUGCAGCCUCUGACACAGUCAACCAUCAGAUCUUACACUCUACCCUCUCCUCGCUGGGCAUCACAGGAACUGUGCUUGAUUGGUUUAACUUCUAUCUCUCAGCCCAACAACACCACAGUGACUGCUCGAAUUUCUGCCUGCCUGGCAGACAUCUCGGCCUGGAUGAAGGAGCACCACCUGCAACUCAACCCAACCAAGACUGAACUCCUUGUCUUUCUAGCCAACCCUGCUGUUGAACACAACAUCACCGUGCAGCUGGGUGCAACUACAGAAACGCCUUCCAAAUCGGUCAGAAAU